rnacentral:hammerhead_ribozyme from 1 species
AUCCGGUUGAUGAGUCCCACAUAGGACGAAAUGCCCAUCUUGGAU